UACGUAGGGCGCGAGCGUUGUCCGGAAUUAUUGGGCGUAAAGAGCUCGUAGGCGGCUUGUUACGUCGUUCGUGAAAACUUGGGGCUCAACCCCAAGCUUGCGGUCGAUACGGGCAGGCUAGAGUUCGGUAGGGGAGACUGGAAUUCCUGGUGUAGCGGUGAAAUGCGCAGAUAUCAGGAGGAACACCGGUGGCGAAGGCGGGUCUCUGGGCCGAUACUGACGCUGAGGAGCGAAAGCGUGGGGAGCGAACAGG
rnacentral:rRNA from 1 species